UACAGAGGUCUCAAGCGUUGUUCGGAUUCAUUGGGCGUAAGGGCGCGUAGGCGGCCCUCCUAGUCGCGUGUGAAAGCCCCGGGCCUCAACCUGGGAACGGCGCGCGAAACGGGGGGCUGGAGUUCGGGAGAGGAGCGUGGAAUUCCCAGUGUAGAGGUGAAAUUCGUAGAUAUUGGGAAGAACACCGGUGGCGAAGGCGG
rnacentral:rRNA from 1 species